CGCUGUUUAUCAAAAACAUGUCUUUUUGGUUAUUUAAUAUAAAGUCUGACCUGCCCACUGAAUUAUAUUUUGAAGGGCCGCAGUAUUUUGACUGUGCAAAGGUAGCAUAAUCAUUAGUCUUUUAAUUGAAGGCUGGUAUGAAUGGUUGGAUGAGGUACAAGCUGUGUCAUAAAAAUUAAUAUUUGAAUUUAACUUUUUAGUCAAAAGGCUAAAAUUUAAUUAAAAGACGAGAAGACCCUAUAGAGCUUUAUAUAAUGAUUAUUUAAUUUAUUAAGAUUUAUUAAAUUUAAUUAUUUUAUUAUAUUUUGUUGGGGUGACAAUAAAAUUUAUAAAACUUUUAUUUUUAUUUUACAUUUAUUUAUGAAUAUAUGAUCCAGUUUUAUUGAUUAUAAAUUUAAGUUACCUUAGGGAUAACAGCGUAAUUUUUUUUGAGAGUUCAUAUCGACAAAAAAGAUUGCGACCUCGAUGUUGGAUUAAGAGUAAUUUUGGGUGUAGAAGUUCAAAGUUUAAGUCUGUUCGACUUUUAAAUUCUUACAUGAUCUGAGUUCAAACCGGAG
rnacentral:rRNA from 1 species